rnacentral:rRNA from 1 species
GCGCAGCAGGCGCGAAACUUUACAAUGUGCGAAAGCACGAUAAGGGAACUCUGAGUGCCUCCUAAGGAGGCUGUUCAGGUGUCUAAAAGUACCUGAAGGAAGGGCUGGGUAAGACCGGUGCCAGCCGCCGCGGUAACACCGGCAGCCCAAGUGGUAGCCACGUUUAUUGGGGUCUAAAGCGUCCGUAGCCGGCUGGGUAAGUUCCUUGGGAAAUUUGGCUGCUUAACAGUCAAGCUUUCAGGGAAUACUGCCCGGCUU